CUUGCUAAAAUUUGAAUAAAUAAAUACAGAAAACAUGAGUGCCAUUGUGAUACCCCAGUUUGUAUGAUAAUUUUUAGUUGUUUGUAUGCUAUUUAUAUUAUGAACAACUUUAUUCUAAGCCCCAGGGGGAGGGCAGUUUGACUUACACAUUUCCCGGGGGAGGGAAGGGGAAUUAAUGCAUUAGAAUCAUGUUUUUCAAAGUCCCGGGGGUGUACCCCCAGGGCAGGCCGUUGAUAUGUGCAUAAGGAAAAUUUCUACUGUCGGAAACUGUCGUAAUUUAGAAUUAGUAUUUUUGUUCACGCGUGGGACGCGCGAGUCCAAACUUUAAACACUUCGGAAAGUUCCGGAUUAUACCGGUGGUUGUUGUUUUUUCAAGAGAACUUAAAAACAUGUGGCUGUAAAACUGUGAAAUUGGUGAUUUUGUAAUAGAUAUUAUACUGUGAUUUGUUGUCAGGGAUGCCGGAACCACGGGUGCAGCGGGUGCAAGUGCACCCCUUGCCUUUUGCAUUUUCAACUUUGUGGGUGCAGUACGGGU